GUUUGGGUAGCUUAAAUAUAAAAGUAUGAUACUGAAGAUGUCAUGAUAGGUUAAAUUCUUCCCAGAUA
rnacentral:tRNA from 1 species